UGGAUAAAGUAGCAAUGAAACUGCCCAAAACUCUGACUGAAAUGUACACACACUUCCUGCUCAUUCAGACUAAUGUGAAGAAUGAGAAGUAUCAUGGCACCAAUGAGACAACCCCAAAGAAAAUGUCAGCAUCAAAUACAGAAAUCAUCCUGAAACUGGGGCAGCUGGCUUUACUACAGCUGGAAAAGGGCAAUCUGAUAUUCUAUGAAGAGGACCUGAGAGAGAUGGGCAUUGAUGUCAGUGAAGCUUCAGUGUACUCUGGGGUGUGCACAGAGAUCUUUAAAGAGGAGUGUGGGUUGGGUGAGGAGAAGGUCUACUGCUUUGUGCAUCUGAGCAUUCAGGAGUAUCUGGCUGCCUUGUUUGUGUUUCAUUCAUGUGUGAAUGAGAACAGAAAUGUACUCAGAGCAGAAGAAUCAAAACCUCGCAGUGACAGAGUGCAGCUGUCUGAGUUACACAGGACUGCAGUGGAUCAGGCCUUAGAGAGUAAGAAUGGACACCUGGACCUUUUCCUCAGAUUCCUUCUAGGCCUCUCUCUGGACUCCAUUCAGACUCUAUUAGGAGGAAUACUGACACAGACAGGAAGCAGAUCAGAGAGCAUUAAGGGAACAGUCCAGUACAUUAAGGGAAAGAUCGAAGAUGAAUCUUCAGCAGAAAGGACCAUCAAUCUGUUCCACUGUCUCAAUGAACUGAAUGACAACUCUCUAGUGGAGGAAAUCAAGAAUUUCCAGAGAUCAGGAAAACUCUCUAAUGAACAUCUGGAACCACACCAAUGUUCAGCCCUGGCCUUUGUGUUACUGAUGUCAGAGGAGAUCCUGGAUGAGUUUGACUUGAAGACCUACAACACAUCAGCAGCAGGUUAUCAGAGACUGGUACCAGUAGUCGGGAACUGCAGGAAGGCCAUACUGAACAGCUGUGACCUCACAGAGAAGUCCUGUGAAAUUGUGGCCUCUGCUCUUCAGUCAUCAAACUCACCCUGAGAGAUCUGGACCUCAGCUACAAUAACCUGGGUGAUUCAGGAGUGAAGCUGCUCUGUGCUGGACUGAUGAGCCCAAACUGUAAACUACAGAGACUAAGGCUGGGUUGGUGUAAUCUCACAGAUGGCUGCUGUGAUGUUCUGGCCUCAGUCCUGCGCUCUCCUCACUCAGAGCUGAGAGAUCUGGAGCUCAGAGACAAUGAGCUGCAGGAUUCAGGAGUGAGAGCGCUCUCUGCUGGACUCGAGGACCCACACUGUAAACUGCAGAGACUGGGACUGAACAGGUGUGGCCUCACAGAGAUGUCCUGUGAAAUUGUGGCCUCAGCUCUCCAGUCAUCAAACUCACCCCUGAGAGAUCUGGACCUCAGCAACAAUAACCUGGGAGAUUCAGGAGUGAAGCUGCUCUGUGCUGGA